rnacentral:rRNA from 1 species
GACGAACGCUGGCGGCGUGCUUAACACAUGCAAGUCGAACGAUGAAGAAGAGAAACGCGAACUUCGGUUCAAAUUUCACUUCGGAUUAGUGGCAGACGGGUGAGUAACGCGUGAGCAACCUACCUCUUACAAAGGGAUAGCCUCGGGAAACCGUGAUUAAUACCAUAUGACACAUUCAUAAGGCAUCUUCAGAAUGUUAAAGCUACGGCGGUAAGAGAUGGGCUCGCGUCCCAUUAGCUAGUUGGUGAGGUAACGGCACACCAAGGCGACGAUGGGUAACCGGCCUGAGAGGGUGAACGGUCACAUUGGAACUGAGACACGGUCCAAACUCCUACGGGAGGCAGCAGUGGGGAAUAUAGCACAAUGGAGGGAACUCUGAUGCAGCGACGCCGCGGGAGAGAUGAAGGAAUUCGUAUCGUAAAGCUCUGUUCUAUGGGAAGAAAAGGACGGUACCAUAGGAGAAAGCCCCGGCUAAAUACGUG